rnacentral:ncRNA from 1 species
AUGAGAAAUUAAUGAUUUAAGUCCUUCUUAAAUGAGGCCAUUUACCCAUAGAGGGUGCCAGGCCCGUAUAACGUUAAUGAUUACUAGAUGAUGUUUCCAAAGAGUCGUGUUGCUUGAUAGUGCAGCACUAAGUGGGUGGUAAACUCCAUCUAAAACUAAAUAUAACCAUGAGACCGAUAGUAAACAAGUACCGUGAGGGAAAGUUGAAAAGAACUCUGAAUAGAGAGUUAAACAGUACGUGAAACUGCUUAGAGGUUAAGCCCGAUGAACCUGAAUAUCCGUUAUGGAAAAUUCAUCAUUAAAAUUGUAAUAUUUAAAUAAUAUUAUUAAGAAUAAUGUGCAUUUUUUCCAUAUAAGGACAUUGUAAUCUAUUAGCAUAUCCCAAAUUUAUCAUAAAAUAUAACUUAUAGUUUAUUCCAAUUAAAUUGCUUGCAUUUUAACACAGAAUAAAUGUUAUUAAUUUGAUAAAGUGCUGAUAGAUUUAUAUUAUUACAGAGCGUUAAUUUUUCGGAAUUAUAUAAUGGCAUAAUUAUCAUUGAUUUUUGUGUUUAUUAUAUGCUCUUGUAUGAUUAACAAUGCGAAAGAUUCAGGAUACCUUCGGGACCCGUCUUGAAACACGGACCAAGGAGUCUAACAUAUGUGCAAGUUAUUGGGAUGUAAACCUAAUAGCGUAAUUAACUUGACUAAUAAUGGGAUUAGUUUUUUAGCUAUUUAUAGCUAAUUAACACAAUCCCGGGGCGUUCUAUAUAGUUAUGUAUAAUGUAUAUUUAUAUUAUUUAUGCCUCUAACUGGAACGUACCUUGAGCAUAUAUGCUGUGACCCGAAAGAUGGUGAACUAUACUUGAUCAGGUUGAAGUCAGGGGAAACCCUGAUGGAAACCGAACAGUUCUGACGUGCAAUCGAUUGUCAGAUUGAGUAUAGGGCGAAAGACCAUCGACAUCUAGUAGCUGUUCUUCGAGUUCCUCAGAUAGCUGUGCAUUUAAUUAUAAAUAUCUAUCUGUAGCGAU